AUCUAGCUUACGACUCCCGAAUAGGACGAAACGCGUGUCCUGGAU
rnacentral:hammerhead_ribozyme from 1 species